AAGCCAUCACCGCCGAUUGGAUCAAUCUACAUGAAGAGCUGAUACGGAAAGCGCCUCUCGUAAUUGUGGAUACCAACAUCAGUGACGAAGCAAUGACGGCUACAUUUGAGCUAUGCUUGCGAUAUGGCAAACCAGGCUCAAGCGCCAUUAGGCAGUGAUCCCCAAAGUGCGGCCCUCGAAGACUUUUCCCGCGGCCCGCAAAUGAUUCAAGAAUAUGCACUACAUGUGGCCCAAUAUGUAAUAUUACCUAUUAGGAAAAGCAUCG